CGGGGGCACUUUUGGGAUGUUUUUGUAUUGCAAGUUUUUCUGUAUCGAGAUAAUUUAAUUUUCUAUGUUUGCUGUAACCAAGUCAUCUCUCAAUCAGGGAAUGCCCCUGGAAUGGGAAUUGGGAAAUCCCUUGCAUAGAAGCCUGCCAAUUGACUUGAAUAAAGUCAUUCCUGCUUGUACCCUUCAUCUAGUCUAGGCUGAUGUUUGGGUAUGUGUCUGCUUAAUCAGUG